AUACGGAGGGUGCAAGCGUUGUCCGGAUUUAUUGGGUUUAAAGGGUGUGUAGGCGGUGUAUUAAGUCAGUGGUGAAAGCCUGCGGCUCAACCGUAGAACUGCCAUUGAUACUGACACACUUGAGUAUGGACGAGGUAGGCGGAAUUUAUGGUGUAGCGGUGGAAUGCAUAGAUACCAUAAAGAACACCGAUAGCGAAGGCAGCUUACUAGGCCAUAACUGACGCUGAGGCACGAAAGCGUGGGGAGCGAACAGGAUUAGAAACCCCGGUAGUCC
rnacentral:rRNA from 1 species